rnacentral:rRNA from 1 species
GCAGUCGAACGGCAGCACGGAGAGCUUGCUCUCUGGUGGCGAGUGCCUAACGGGUGAGUAAUAUAUCGGAACGUGUCCAAUAAUGGGGGAUAACGAGUCGAAAGAUUCGCUAAUACCGCAUACGCCCUACGGGGGAAAGCAGGGGAUCGUAAGACCUUGCGUUAAUGGAGCGGCCGAUAUCUGAUUAGCUUGUUGGUGAGGUAAAGGCUCACCAAGGCGACGAUCAGUAGCUGGUUUGAGAGAACGACCAGCCACACUGGAACUGAGACACGGUCCAGACUCCUACGGGAGGCAGCAGUGGGGAAUUUUGGACAAUGGGGGCAACCCUGAUCCAGCCAUUCCGCGUGAGUGAAGAAGGCCUUCGGGUUGUAAAGCUCUUUCGCAAGGGAAGAAAACUUAUGAUCGAAUAAAUCAUGAGGUUGACGGUACCUUGAUAAGAAGCACCGGCUAACUACGUGCCAGCAGCCGCGGUAAUACGUAGGGUGCGAGCGUUAAUCGGAAUUACUGGGCGUAAAGCGUGCGCAGGCGGUUUUGUAAGUCGGAUGUGAAAUCCCCGGGCUCAACCUGGGAACUGCGUUCGAAACUGCAAGGCUAGAGUGUGUCAGAGGGGGGUAGAAUUCCACGUGUAGCAGUGAAAUGCGUAGAGAUGUGGAGGAAUACCAAUGGCGAAGGCAGCCCCCUGGGAUAACACUGACGCUCAUGCACGAAAGCGUGGGGAGCAAACAGGAUUAGAUACCCUGGUAGUCCACGCCCUAAACGAUGUCAACUAGUUGUUGGUAGAGUAAAAUCUAUGAGUAACGUAGCUAACGCGUGAAGUUGACCGCCCUGGGAGUACGGUCGCAAGAUAAAACUCAAAGGAAUUGACGGGGGCCCCGCACAGCGGUGGAUUAUGUGGAUUAAUU